UCGGCCCUGAAUCAAUGCUACCAGUUUGUUAAAGCUGUGGGUUUCAAGCAGAGACUGAAGAAAUGUCUUUCUGUGGUCUGCUGGUCAUUUCAGAGCUUCAGAAAUGUAAUGCCCAAUUCAUUACAAAGAAACACCU
rnacentral:snoRNA from 1 species